AAAUGAAUAGACGGGGGCCCGCACAAGCGGAGGAACAUGUGGUUUAAUUCGAUGAUACGCGAGGAACCUUACCCGGGCUUGAAUUGCAGGAGAACGAUCCAGAGAUGGUGAGGCCCUUCGGGGCUCCUGUGAAGGUGCUGCAUGGUUGUCGUCAGCUCGUGCCGUGAGGUGUCGGCUUAAGUGCCAUAACGAGCGCAACCCCUCUCCUUAGUUGCCAUCAGGUUAAGCUGGGCACUCUGGGGACACUGCCACCGUAAGGUGUGAGGAAGGUGGGGAUGACGUCAAAUCAGCACGGCCCUUACGUCCGGGGCUACACACGUGUUACAAUGGCGUGUACAGAGAGUUGGUGAUAUGCAAAUGUCAUCUAAUCCUAAAAGCACGUCUCAGUUCGGACUGGGGUCUGCAACCCGACCCCACGAAGCUGGAUUCGCUAGUAAUCGCGCAUCAGCCAUGGCGCGGUGAAUACGUUCCCGGGCCUUGUACACACCGCCCGU
rnacentral:rRNA from 1 species